rnacentral:rRNA from 1 species
AGAACGAACGCUGGCGGCAUGCCUAAUACAUGCAAGUCGAACGAACACUUCGGUGUUAGUGGCGCACGGGUGCGUAACGCGUGGGAAUCUGCCCUUGGGUUCGGAAUAACAGUUGGAAACGACUGCUAAUACCGGAUGAUAUCGAAAGAUCAAAGAUUUAUCGCCCAGGGAUGAGCCCGCGUAGGAUUAGCUAGUUGGUGAGGUAAAGGCUCACCAAGGCGACGAUCCUUAGCUGGUCUGAGAGGACGACCAGCCACACUGGGACUGAGACACGGCCCAGACUCCUACGGGAGCAGCAGUGGGGAAUUUGGACAAU